rnacentral:lncRNA from 1 species
AGUUAGAAAAAGCCCGGGCUAGGACCGAGGAGCAGGGUGAGGGAGGGGGUGGGAUGGGUGGGGGGUAACGGGGGAAACUGGGGAAGUGGGGAACCGAGGGGCAACCAGGGGAAGAUGGGGUGCUGGAGGAGAGCUUGUGGGAGCCAAGGAGCACCUUGGACAUCUGGAGUCUGGCAGGAGUGAUGACGGGUGGAGGGGCUAGCUCGAGGCAGGGCUGGUGGGGCCUGAGGCCAGUGAGGAGUGUGGAGUAGGCGCCCAGGCAUCGUGCAGACAGGGCGACAUCAGCUGGGGACGAUGGGCCUGAGCUAGGGCUGGAAAGAAGGGGGAGCCAGGCAUUCAUCCCGGUCACUUUUGGUUACAGGACGUGGCAGCUGGUUGGACGAGGGGAGCUGGUGGGCAGGGUUUGAUCCCAGGGCCUGGGCAACGGAGGUGUAGCUGGCAGCAGCGGGCAGGUGAGGACCCCAUCUGCCGGGCAGGUGAGUCCCUUCCCUCCCCAGGCCUCGCUUCCCCAGCCUUCUGAAAGAAGGAGGUUUAGGGGAUCGAGGGCUGGCGGGGAGAAGCAGACACCCUCCCAGCAGAGGGGCAGGAUGGGGGCAGGAGAGUUAGCAAAGGUGACAUCUUCUCGGGGGGAGCCGAGACUGCGCAAGGCUGGGGGGUUAUGGGCCCGUUCCAGGCAGAAAGAGCAAGAGGGCAGGGAGGGAGCACAGGGGUGGCCAGCGUAGGGUCCAGCACGUGGGGUGGUACCCCAGGCCUGGGUCAGACAGGGACAUGGCAGGGGACACAGGACAGAGGGGUCCCCAGCUGCCACCUCACCCACCGCAAUUCAUUUAGUAGCAGGCACAGGGGCAGCUCCGGCACGGCUUUCUCAGGCCUAUGCCGGAGCCUCGAGGGCUGGAGAGCGGGAAGACAGGCAGUGCUCGGGGAGUUGCAGCAGGACGUCACCAGGAGGGCGAAGCGGCCACGGGAGGGGGGCCCCGGGACAUUGCGCAGCAAGGAGGCUGCAGGGGCUCGGCCUGCGGGCGCCGGUCCCACGAGGCACUGCGGCCCAGGGUCUGGUGCGGAGAGGGCCCACAGUGGACUUGGUGACGCUGUAUGCCCUCACCGCUCAGCCCCUGGGGCUGGCUUGGCAGACAGUACAGCAUCCAGGGGAGUCAAGGGCAUGGGGCGAGACCAGACUAGGCGAGGCGGGCGGGGCGGAGUGAAUGAGCUCUCAGGAGGGAGGAUGGUGCAGGCAGGGGUGAGGAGCGCAGCGGGCGGCGAGCGGGAGGCACUGGCCUCCAGAGCCCGUGGCCAAGGCGGGCCUCGCGGGCGGCGACGGAGCCGGGAUCGGUGCCUCAGCGUUCGGGCUGGAGACGAGGGCCAGGUCUCCAGCUGGGGUGGACGUGCCCACCAGCUGCCGAAGGCCAAGACGCCAGGUCCGGUGGACGUGACAAGCAGGACAUGACAUGGUCCGGUGUGACGGCGAGGACAGAGGAGGCGCGUCCGGCCUUCCUGGAACACCUUAGGCUGGUGGGGCUGCGGCAAGAAGCGGGUCUGUUUCUUUACUUCCUCCACGGAGUCGGCACACUAUGGCUGCCCUCUGGGCUCCCAGAACCCACAACAUGAAAGGAAAUGGUGCUACCCAGCUCAAGCCUGGGCCUUUGAAUCCGGACACAAAACCCUCUAGCUUGGAAAUGAAUAUGCUGCACUUUACAACCACUGCACUACCUGACUCAGGAAUCGGCUCUGGAAGGGUGAAGCUAGAGGAACCAGACCUCAUCAGCCCAACAUCAAAGACACCAUCGGAACAGCAGCGCCCGCAGCACCCACCCCGCACCGGCGACUCCAUCUUCAUGGCCACCCCCUGCGGCGGACGGUUGACCACCAGCCACCACAUCAUCCCAGAGCUGAGCUCCUCCAGCGGGAUGACGCCGUCCCCACCACCUCCCUCUUCUUCUUUUUCAUCCUUCUGUCUCUUUGUUUCUGAGCUUUCCUGUCUUUCCUUUUUUCUGAGAGAUUCAAAGCCUCCACGACUCUGUUUCCCCCGUCCCUUCUGAAUUUAAUUUGCACUAAGUCAUUUGCACUGGUUGGAGUUGUGGAGACGGCCUUGAGUCUCAGUACGAGUGUGCGUGAGUGUGAGCCACCUUGGCAAGUGCCUGUGCAGGGCCCGGCCGCCCUCCAUCUGGGCCGGGUGACUGGGCGCCGGCUGUGUGCCCGAGGCCUCACCCUGCCCUCGCCUAGUCUGGAAGCUCCGACCGACAUCACGGAGCAGCCUUCAAGCAUUCCAUUACGCCCCAUCUCGCUCUGUGCCCCUCCCCACCAGGGCUUCAGCAGGAGCCCUGGACUCAUCAUCAAUAAACACUGUUACAGCAAU